rnacentral:rRNA from 1 species
GACGGAGGGGGCAAGCGUUGUCCGGAAUUACUGGGCGUAAAGCGCACGUAGGCGGCCUGGUGCGUCGGUGCUGAAAGCGCCCCGCUUAACGGGGCGAGGCGUGCCGAUACGACCGGGCUUGAGGCAGGCAGAGGGUGGCGGAAUUCCGGGUGUAGUGGUGAAAUGCGUAGAGAUCCGGAGGAACGCCUGUGGCGCAAGCGGCCACCUGGGCCUGAGCUGACGCUGAGGUGCGAAAGCGUGGGUAGCGUACCGG